GGGCAACGUUCACCGUCUCGUUACUGCAACCCAUAUGGGUACCAUCCUAUUACAAUGUCAGAAUGCAGUACAGUACGAGACGACGAGGCCUAUUGAGUACAUUACGGUAUCACUGAGAUUGCAUACCGGUUUGGUACGGUACGUUUGGUACAACAAACCUUAGGCUGGAGUGUGUUUGACAACAAGUGCUGCUAGCUAUUCUUUGAAUCCCAUAAAUAUUAGUUGCUAUAAUAAUUGAAAAUAGAUACUUAUAAUGACCAAGUGUAGCUGCCAAGUGAACUAUUGGAGGUAUAAAUGUAGUUCAGUGAUAUACUUAAUAAACACUUGAGGUUGCUACAUAUGCUACUUGGAAGGUAAUAGAGUUUAUGUUAUUCUUCAUCUGGUUUAGCACUAAUAUAGGUGUUAGUCUUGUCAUAAUUGGUGCCCUAACAAAGCCAUGAUUUUAUUGAUGAGAUACACUUUAGAGUCAAAUAUGAGAGUUCAUUCUUCUAAUGAUUUACAUUCGCAUUUUUUGUAUUGCACAUGAUGUAUAAUAUGCUAUUAGAUGAUCCAUAGGAUAUAUUGUAGUAAACUCAAGUGAGUGCUAUGUGUGUUUCCCCAGUUGUUUCUUUUCCUUUUUUUUGUGAGUAUUACUCAACUCAGUUCAUCAAUAGUUACUAAGACUUGAUGUUAAUUUUAGUUUUGCCUCUAUGUCAUAUGAUAAUCCACAUUAGCAUAAUUGUAAGCAUAAUCAUCCAACUUUUUUCUCGACUAUUCGUGUU
rnacentral:lncRNA from 1 species